UACGAAGGGGACUAGCGUUGUUCGGAAUCACUGGGCGUAAAGCGCACGUAGGCGGAUAUGUCAGUCAGGGGUGAAAUCCCGGGGCUCAACCUCGGAACUGCCUUUGAUACAGCAUAUCUUGAGUCCGAUAGAGGUGGGUGGAAUUCCUAGUGUAGAGGUGAAAUUCGUAGAUAUUGGGAAGAACACCGGUGGCGAAGGCGGCCAUCUGGACCGCAACUGACGCUGAGGUGCGAAAGCGUGGGGAGCAAACAGG
rnacentral:rRNA from 1 species